GGAAGCUUCCCCUCCAAAGAAGCUUGCUAUUUUCCCUUGGAAUUUGCUAAAGGAGAAACCGCCGACCAGAGAAAACUUAAACAAGAUGUUGAAGCACUUGCCAAAAGAGUGUGAUCUUUGUGGACAAACAGGGAUACAGACAUCUCUUCUUCACUUGUCCGAGAGCCAUAGAUUUCUGGAUUCACUCUCCUCUUCGAUUGAGAUCCCAUAUGCUUAUUGGAGAGUCUCUUAUGGAUAUGGUUUGAGAUAACUUCCUAUCUUUCAAACUAGGUAAAUGGCUCUGAAUUCUUAGUCUUACUAGCCUUCCUUUUUUGGCACCUGCGGAAAAGCAGGAUAGCUAUAUAUGCUUUCAGCCGCUAGGAGAUCCCUUCCACUCAUUCUAUUCAGGGGCAAUUAAUCAUAAUGAGGAUUUUAUGGUAGCUCAGGUGCAAUUGAAAUCUCAGUUGAAUGAUUUUGCUAGCCGCCCAAGGCAUCUAGACCUGAGUAUCAUAACGGAUAUCAAGUCUUCAUCAGACUUCUUCAACACUCUUUUCUUCUCCUUUGUUAGAAGGAGCUGCAAACUGCAAAGCAGCUCAUACUUUAGCGUCCUGAGCUCUACAUAAUUUCUUCUUUUAUUUUUAACCCCUUAGCAAGUGUUCUUUAUUUCAACUCUUAUGCCACACUAGUGGCUUUCUUAUUUAUAUUUGAUAAAAAAAAUUCAAUAAAAUUA
rnacentral:misc_RNA from 1 species